rfam:Ovis aries breed Texel chromosome 3, whole genome shotgun sequence.
UCCCUGGUAGCUCAGAUGGUAAAGAAUAUGCCUGCAAAGCAGGAGACCCAGGUUUGAGCCCUGGGUGGGGAG